rnacentral:rRNA from 1 species
AUGAGUGGCGAACGGGUGAGUAACACGUGAGUAACCUGCCCUCUUCUUUGGGAUAACGCCCGGAAACGGGUGCUAAUACUGGAUAUUCACUGAUCUUCGCAUGGGGGUUGGUGGAAAGGUUUUUUCUGGUGGGGGAUGGGCUCGCGGCCUAUCAGCUUGUUGGUGGGGUGAUGGCCUACCAAGGCUUCGACGGGUAGCCGGCCUGAGAGGGUGACCGGUCACAUUGGGACUGAGAUACGGCCCAG